CCCACCUCGGCCUCCCAAAGUGCUGGGAUUACAGGCAUGAGCCACCAUACCUGGCCCCUUUUGUUGUUUUGAGGGGCAGGCAGUAAGAAGCAGGGAUUUCUUCAAAUGCUAGUAAGCACAAAGAGAGGGAGAAGUUUUUGUAAGUAACGAACAGGGCCGGGCAUGGUGGCGUGAGAGGCCGAGGUGGGCAGAUCACGAGGUCAGGAGUUCGAGACCAGCCUGACCAACAUAGUGAAACCCCCGUCUCCACUAGAAAUACAAAAAUUAGCCGGGCAUGGUGGUGCACGCCUGUAAUCCAGCUAGUCAGGAGGCUGAGGCAGGAGAAUCGCUUGAACCUGGGAGGUGGAGGUUGCAGGGAGCUGAGAUCACGCCACUGCACUCCAGCCUGGGCGACAGAGUAAGACUCCCGUCUCAAAAAAAAAAAAAAAAAAAAAAGAACAGUUGAUCAUUAAGGCCAUUAAUGUGCAUGGACAGUUUGUUGCCCAGGUUGGAGUGUGAUGACGACGCAAUCUCGGUAAAUAUAAACCUACUCUGUAACCUCCACCUCCUGGGCUCAAGCAGUUCUCGUGCUUCAGCCUCCCGAGUAGCUGGGAUCACAGGCAUGCGCCACUAAGCCCAGCUAAUUUUUGUAUUUUUAGUAGAGACGGGGUUUCACCAUGUUGGCCAGGCUGGUCUUGAACUCCUGGCCUCAAGUGAUGCGCCUGCCUGGGCCUCCCAAAGUGCUGGGAUUACAGGUGUGAGCCACUGCACCUGGCCCAAUAGGCACAUUUUUUUAAUAAGUAGUUUGUUGAUUAGAACGAAGAGCACUUGCCGUAAGUGCAUGUCAUUGUUUUCAGCUGUUAUGGCUAAGUCAGUUAACCUCAUCAACAAUUUUUUCUUCUGUAAAUUGAGGACAAUUUUUGCUUUUAUGAAUGAAGUCUUAACCAGCAGGAAGAAAUAUAAACAAAGGAACAUAUUUUUAAUUUAAUGAAGCAAAAUUCCAUACAUCAUUUUGAAAAUAGUGUUUCUUUCCCUGAUAGGCCUGUUCUGCAUCAUUCUUUUAGCUUCCUUCUGCCCUGUUUAUCACUUGGUCCCACUUUUAUAUUUUUCCUCUUCGGUCCAGAAUUUCUUAUUUAGUUUCUUGUAUUUUGC
rnacentral:lncRNA from 10 species